CGGCGGGGAGGGGUGGACCAGCAGCACUCACAGCCGGACGGAGGAGCGGACGCCAGCCGCGCCGGCCAGAGCGAGCGCCCCGUGGCCGGGGGCGCCGUCCAGGCGCGCGCCCCGGACCCGUGGCUGGACGGGGGCGAUUGGCGCCCCGGACCGACGCGCCCCUCAGCAUGGAGCGCCCCCGGGGUCUGCCCUGAGGCGGCGGCGGCGGCGAUGCAGCCAGCGCAGCAGCUGCUUGGGCCAGGAACGGCCGCCCGGAGCUCGGAGGACGUGGAGCGCACCGCGCCCGGGGCGCUGACCGAGGGCCCUCCAGCCACCAACUCCUCUGCAGCUGGCACCUGGGAGAUGGCAGCCUUGAAGAUGGCCACUGCCUGGUCCGCAGCGCUACUUAGAGGAUAGGAGUCAAGAGGUAACACUGAGGUCACCAAUGUGCACCUGUCCAUCUAGUCAUCCAUUCCACCCAACACCUAUCUGUCCAUUCAGCUAGCCACUCAUCCAUCCAUCCGUCCACCAUCCAUCCAGUCACUAAUCCAUUCACCCAACCCAUCCAAUCAUUGCCCACCUAACCCAUCCAUCCCUCUGAUCACCCUCCAUGCAUCUGUCAGCCCUGUUUAUCCAUCCAUGUGCUCGACCACUCACCUGCACACGUAACUGUGUUCUCAUCCGUCUCCCCACCCUCCCUCUAUUCAGCAGCUCAUUCCCUCAUCCUUUUGUCUGAUCAGUGGGCAGUUCCUGGGUGCUCCUCUGUGCCAGGCCUGCACCAGCUUCUCUGGACCUCUGAGGUUGGCCAUAGCUGGGGACAGGCAAGGUCACCUCUCAUACAAGGUCCUCACAGGAGAAGCCAGAGAGUCUACAAGGGCUUCCUGAAGUGUUGGGUGUCAGCUGAUUCCUGACAGAUGGGAGAAUUUCUAGCAUUCCCAUUAGCUGUGACUUGGAGGUUGGACCACAUGGGGUGAGGGUCACCACACAGGAAAACCUGUCAGGGACCUGUUGCUGUGUCCAGGUAGGAAUGGCCUGGACAGGAGGGUGGCUGUGGGCAAGGAGUGGGUGGGCGGCUUUGAUACUUCCGUGGGUGCAAUACACCGGACCUGGUGGGGAAAGGGAUCUGGGGGCUAGAGGAUCGGGAGGAGGCGGGCUUGUGGCUGGGGUGACUGGGGAAGUGACCCUGUGAGGGGGAGGGCGGUAGGGGAGGAGGGAGGAAGUUUGGCGAGGAGAAGCGUCCUGGCCACGCGGUGCUGUGGCCUGUGAGCGGGGCCCAGGGGCGGAGGAACCCGGCACCCCGAGUGUGCCCCUCGGGGUAGGGAGUGCUCGGAGUGGGGCAUUAAACCCCUUGCCUGCUGACGCAUGGGCAGGGCCCGCUUCAGGGGCCAAAGCAAGCUUUCAGGCAGAAAGACUGGUGUUG
rnacentral:lncRNA from 1 species